rnacentral:rRNA from 1 species
GACGAACGCUGGCGGCGUGCUUAACACAUGCAAGUCGAACGGAAAGGCCCUGCUUUUGUGGGGUGCUCGAGUGGCGAACGGGUGAGUAACACGUGAGUAACCUGCCCUUGACUUUGGGAUAACUUCAGGAAACUGGGGCUAAUACCGGAUAGGAGCUCCUGCUGCAUGGUGGGGGUGGUAAAGUUUCGGCGGUUGGGGAUGGACGCGCGGCUUAUCAGCUUGUUGGUGGGGUAGUGGAUUACCAAGGCUUUGACGGGUAGCCGGACUGAGAGGGUGACAGGCCACAUUGGGCCUGGGGUGCGGCCCAGACUGAUACGGGAGGCAGCAGUGGAGAAUAUUGCACAAUGGGCGGAAGCCGGAUGCAGCAACGCCGCGUGCGGGAUGACGGCCUUCGGGUUGUAACCCGCUUUCGCCUGUGACGAAGCGUGAGUGACGGUAAUGGGUAAAGAAGCAACGGCUAACUACGUG